rnacentral:lncRNA from 1 species
GUGAAACACAUUUUUACUAAAGAUUUAUAUUCAGCAUUGCCAGCAAUCCAAGAAAGGAGAAAAUAAUUGGGGAGGAAAAGCUUUCUGUGACCUUAUCAAAUGAAGCACCUUACUGAUAAGCUGCAGCAGACACAGCCAGGACGGAGAGAACGAGCACAGAAAAGCUGGCCUGCAUUACUGAACACAAAUGCUUGCUAAAAGCAAGGUGCUGCUGUCUCACUAAACCCUAAACAACCUUCUAUGAUGCAGUAUUUGGAGGUUGACCUGGACUUAGCUGUGUUAAGCUGCCUGCACCACAGGAAACCACCUCCCUCGCUGCUGCUUGCUGCUUUCUCUUUAGCCAACACCCAAAGCCACUGCCAGUGUCAGGGAGAUGAGACUUCACAGGGUUCUCAAAAUAUUGAAGCAACGGAAGACCCAAGCUACCCCUCCCUGUAUGUAUCAUCAGCUCUCUCUAACUGAUGGGAAGUUGCACAUAGCCAAGGAUGAAAAAUAUCUCCAUACAAGAUUAUCUGGAAAAUUGAUCCAAGCAGGAUGAGAUACCAUGUAGUAGUAUUCAGUCUUCAGAGUUGGUGGUCUGAACUUGAAAUUUUUCAGUUAUUCUACAUCAAGUCCUGAACUACUGGUUAGUGUGAAGAAGGAAGGAGCAGGACGUCUGCUGAGGCUAGAAGCAGUGAGGCUGUCACUAGCAGGCUGGGGACCUGAGAAGCACUGUGGAUGGGCGGAAGCAGCUGCACUAGGGACCUCAGAAGUGGACACCUGGAGAAGACACAUGUCCAGGGCACUUGGGAGCCAACAGAAAUUGAUCUUAGCUGGGGAUUAGAUGGAUGCUUAUUCUCUCUCUCUCUCUCUCUCUCUCUCUCUCUCUCUCUCUCUCUCUCUCUCUCUCUCCCCCUCUCUCCCUCUCUCUCCCCCUCUCUCUCCCUCUCUCUCCCCCUCUCUCUCCCCCUCUCUCUCCCCCUCUCUCUCUCCCUCUCUCUCCCCCUCUCUCUCCCCCUCUCUCUCCC